GUGGCGAACGGGUGAGUAACACGUAGGUAACCUGCCCUUAAGCUUGGGAUACCCAGAGGAAACUUUGGUUAAUACCGGAUAAUAUCAGAGAAGGCAUCUUCUUUGAUUAAAAGGCCCUGUAAGGGGUCACUUAAGGAUGGACCUGCGGCGCAUUAGCUAGUUGGUGAGAUAACAGCCCACCAAGGCGAGGAUGCGUAGCCGAACUGAGAGGUUGAUCGGCCACACUGGAACUGAGACACGGUCCAGACUCCUACGGGAGGCAGCAGUAAGGAGUUUUCGGCAAUGGGGGAAACCCUGACCGAGCAACGCCGCGUGAGUGAUGAAGGUCCUUUGGAUUGUAAAGCUCUGUUGUAAGCCAUGAAUGGUAGCUAUAGGAAAUGAUAGUUACUUGACGACAGCUUACCAGAAAGCCACGGCUAACUACGUGCCAGCAGCCGCGGUAAUACGUAGGUGGCAAGCGUUAUCCGGAAUUAUUGGGCGUAAAGAGUGAGCAGGCGGCUGAAUAAGUCUGAAGUCAAAUCGUGGG
rnacentral:rRNA from 1 species